UACGAAGGGGGGCUAGCGUUGCUCGGAAUCACUGGGCGUAAAGCGCACGUAGGCGGAUUUGUAAGUCAGGGGUGAAAGUCCCGGGGCUCAACCUCGGAACUGCCUUUGAUACUGCAAAUCUCGAGUCCGGAAGAGGUGAGUGGAAUUCCUAGUGUAGAGGUGAAAUUCGUAGAUAUUAGGAAGAACACCAGUGGCGAAGGCGGCUCACUGGUCCGGUACUGACGCUGAGGUGGCGAAAAGCG
rnacentral:rRNA from 1 species